rnacentral:rRNA from 1 species
CAAAUCUUAGCGGUGGAUCACUCGGUUCGUGGAUCGAU